rnacentral:rRNA from 1 species
CGGCGAACGGGUGAGUAACGCGUGGGCAACCUGGCCUUAAGAAAAGGAUAGCCCCCGGAAACGGGGGAGUAAUACUUUAUGAGAAUGAGAGAGGGCAUCCUACUUUCAUUCAAAGCGCAAGCGCUUAAGGAUGGGCCCGCGUAUCAUUAGCUAGUUGGUGAGAUAACAGCCCACCAAGGCAACGAUGGAUUAGCCGGUCUGAGAGGGCGAACGGCCACAUUGGAACUGAGAGACGGUCCAAACUCCUACGGGAGGCAGCAGUGGGGAAUAUUGCGCAAUGGAGAAGAACUCUGACGCAGCAAUACCGCGUGAGCGAAGAAGGUCUUCGGAUCGUAAAGCUCUGUUAUCAGGGAAGAAGAAAAUGACGGUACCUGAUGAGCAAGUCCCGGCUAACUACGUGCCAGCAGCCGCGGUAAUACGUAGGGACAAGCGUUGUCCGGAAUCACUGGGCGUAAAGGGCGCGCAGGCGGUGAUUUAAGCAGGAUGUGAAAGGCUACGGCUCAACCGUAGACAUGCACCCUGAACG